GAGAUGGAGUCUCUCUCUGUUGCCCAGGCUGGAGUACAGUGGUGCCAUCUAGGCUCACUGCAACCUCCGCCUCCUGGGUUCAAGCGAUUCUCCUGCCUUAGCUUCCCAAGUUGCUGGAAUUACAGGAGCCCACCACCAUGUCCGGCUAAUUUUUUUUUAUUAUUAUUAUUUUUUAGUAGAGACAGGGUUUCGCCAAGUUGGCCGGGCUGGUCUUGAACUCCUGACCUCAAGUGAUCUGCUCACCUCAGCCUCCCAAAGUGCUGGGAUUACAGGCAUGAGCCACCAUGCCCAGCCCUGUCCUUAUCUUAUAAUAACCAGUUCUUCUAGAACCAGACGAUGCUCUAGUUCUCUUAGAUUCUGAACCUCAUGACCUGCACCACUCACUAGUUCCAGACUACACAACUUCUAGACAGUGCUACCUCCAGGGUCCUCUGAUUCAAGAUCUGGUGAUCUGCUGUUUCUCUGGUUCUAGAACUGACUUACAAGUGCCUUCUGAUUCUAGACCUCAUUCCGUAAGUUCCUUUGGCUCUAGACUUCAUCAUUUCCAGCUCCUGCUCACUCAAGAUCUGACUCCAAAUUACCCUGGGUCUAGAAUUCAGCCUUCAAAUAUCUUCUGAUUUUAGACUUUGCCUUAUAUAGUUCUCUGGUUUUAGAUCUUACCACCCUCAACUCCUUCUGAUUCUAGAUCUUAUGGUCCCCAAAUCUCUCUGGUUCUAGAACUCAAGAUUUUAGGCUUUUGUUUUUCCUUUUUUUAUUAAAAAAAAAAAAAAAAUAGAGACGGGGUUCCGCCAUGUUGCCCAGGCUGGUCGCGAACUCCUGAGCUCAAGCAAUUCUCCCUCCUUGGCCUCACCAAAGUGCUGGGACUGCAGGCAUAAGCCACUGAGCCCAGCCAGGCUUUUUCUGAUUCUGUGCCUUAUUCUAUAAAUUCCUCUGCUUCUAAGCCUCACAGCUUCCAGCUGUCUUUGAUAUCAGAUCCAAAUUCUUCUGGUUCUAUAAUUCAGCCUCCAAAUGCUUCUGAUUAUGGAAUCUAGACUUUUCCCUAAAGAUUCCUCUGGUUCUGAAUCUUAUAACCUUAACUCUCUAAUUCCAGACCCUACCCUCCUAAAUCUAUUCUGGGCUUCCCACCCCACUGCACUUACCCCAAUUCCUUCCUUCAGUCUUAAGUCUUCCCAUUCUAGACCCCUACCCUCUAGGCUGUGCUGCUCCUGGACUUCAUGCCUCUCCAUUCUCAUUGCCUACAAUCUCUGUGCCCCAGAACCGCCUCCACUUCCCACCCCAGCCCUCCAGACAUGCACUUACCUUGACUUUACCCCACAUGUUUGGGGCACCUGGGGCUCCCUCACCCCUUGGGUGGUUUGCAGUCCGAAGACUUCUCCAGCCGCACAGGCACACGCACAGGCACGGCACUGUCUGCAUAUUGCCGGGUGGGGAGAGAGGCCAGGACCCCUCAGCUCUCUGCCACCAUCUAUGUGCCUCCCUUACCCCCCAGCUUUCUUUCUGCAAAUGGUGCUACUCUUGGUUUCCCACAGGAAAAGGCCUCCCCCUUCUUAGCCCCAUUUACCACCUUUGUGGAAGGCACUGCUUGCUCUGUUUCAUCAGGGGGUGGCCUAUCCAGAUUGGUGCUAUGGGGGGGUGUGACCCCUACCUCCUCCCUCUGGAGGUGAUGUGGAUCCUCAAUGGAGGGAAUUGUGCUGGGCUAGGGAAAGGGGAGGGACUAGACCGGACACACUGGCUCUGAAACUCACCAAUCUCUAUACCACCAUAAAGACCUCACCUUGGUAGGCACCAGAA